rnacentral:rRNA from 1 species
GACGAACGCUGGCGGCGUGCUUAACACAUGCAAGUCGAACGGAAAGGCCCUGCUUUUGUGGGGUGCUCGAGUGGCGAACGGGUGAGUAACACGUGAGUAACCUGCCCUUGACUUUGGGAUAACUUCAGGAAACUGGGGCUAAUACCGGAUAGGAGCUCCUGCUGCAUGGUGGGGGUUGGAAAGUUUCGGCGGUUGGGGAUGGACUCGCGGCUUAUCAGCUUGUUGGUGGGGUAGUGGCUUACCAAGGCUUUGACGGGUAGCCGGCCUGAGAGGGUGACCGGCCACAUUGGGACUGAGAUACGGCCCAGACUCCUACGGGAGGCAGAAGUGGGGAAUAUUGCACAAUGGGCGGAAGCCUGAUGCAGCAACGCCGCGUGCGGGAUGACGGCCUUCGGGUUGUAAACCGCUUUCGCCUGUGACGAAGCGUGAAUGACGGUAAUGGGUAAAGAAGCACCGGCUAACUACGUG